rnacentral:rRNA from 1 species
UACGUAGGGUGCAAGCGUUAAUCGGAAUUACUGGGCGUAAAGCGUGCGCAGGCGGUUUUGUAAGUCUGAUGUGAAAUCCCCGGGCUCAACCUGGGAAUUGCAUUGGAGACUGCAAGGCUAGAAUCUGGCAGAGGGGGGUAGAAUUCCACGUGUAGCAGUGAAAUGCGUAGAGAUGUGGAGGAACACCGAUGGCGAAGGCAGCCCCCUAGGUCAAGAUUGACGCUCAUGCACGAAAGCGUGGGGAGCAAACAGG